CCUGGUUGAUCCUACAAGUAGUCAUAUGCUUGUCUCAAAGAUUAAGUCAUGUGUAAGUAUGAACUAAUUCAGACUGUGAAACUACGAAUAGCUCAAUAAAUCAGUUAUAGUUUGUUUGAUGGUAUUUGCUACUCGGAUAACCGUAGUAAUUCUAGAGCUAAUAUAUGUAAUAAACCCCGACUUCUAAAAGAGAUGCAUUUAUUAUACAAAAGGUCGACGUAGCUUUGGUCGUUGCUCUGAUGAUUCAUGAUAACUCGAAGGGUCACAUGAUCUUUGUGCCGACGAUGCAUCAUUGAAAUUUAUGCCCUAUCAACUUUCGAUGGUAGGAUAAUGGCUUACUAUGGUGGUGAUGGGUGAUUGAGAAUUAGGGUUCGAUUCUGAAGAGGGAGCCUGAGAAACGGCUACCACAUCCAAGGAAGGCAGCAGGCACGCAAAUUACCCAAUCCUGACACGGGGAGGUAGUGACAAUAAAUAAUAAUAUCGAGCUCUACGAAUAUAGUAAUUGGAAUGAGUACAAUUGAAAUCCCUUAACGAGGAUCCAUUGGAGGGAAAGUCUGGUGCCAGCAGCAGCGGUAAUUCUAGCUCCAAUAGUGUAUAUUUAAGUUGUUGUAGUUUAAAAGCUCAUAGUUGGACCUAGGGGUGGGUCAGCCAGUCCACCUCAUGGUGAGCACCGUUCUACUCGUCCCUAUUACCGGUGAUAAGCUCCUUGCCUUAAUUGGCAGGGUUGUUCCUCUUGCGCUGUUACUUUGAAGAAAUUAGAGUGCUCAAGGCCUACACUUGUAUACAUUAGCAUGGGAUAACAUCACAGGAUUUCGAUCUUAUUGUGUUGGCCUUAGGUAUCAGAGUAAUGAUUAAUAGGGACAGUUAGGGGCAUUCGUAUUUCAUAGUCAGAGGUGAAAUUCUUGGAUUUAUGAAAGACUAACAAUUGUGAAAGCAUUUUCCAAUGAUGUUUUCAUUAAUUAAUAACAAAAGUUGAGGGCUCAAAGAAGAUCAAAUAUCGUCCUAGUCUCAACCAUAAACGAUGUCGACCAGGGAUCGCUGAAUGUUGCUUUUAGGACUCCUCCAGCACCUUAUGAGAAAUCAAAGUCUUUGGGUUCCUGGGGGAGUAUUGACGCAAGGCUACCAGGAGUGGAAACUUAAAGGAAUUGUCGACGAGUUUGGGCUAUUAGGGUUCGGGUAGUUAAUUGUGUAAUGGAUAUUGAGAAAUGGUUUUAUGGGCUUGUGCAUAUGUAAUAUUUAAUUGGAAUAGGUUAUUUGUAACUGAAAUAGGUUGAUGGACAUUUAAUUUGGGCUUGCUUGAGCUCGGUUCUUGGAUUCUAAUUGCACUUCAGUUUUUUAAAUGAAUGCGUAUGGUCACCGACCCUGAAUGUGAACGUUAACAAUUGACCAAAGCUUUGAGUUAAUUCCACCCUUUUGACCAAUUCCACUCAAAUUAAGGCACAGACAACCUUAAAUUGUUCUUUGAUCGCCCUCAAUUUGAUUCUAGU
rnacentral:rRNA from 1 species